rnacentral:rRNA from 1 species
CGCAGCCGCGGUAAUUCCAGCUCCAAUAGCGUAUAUUAAAGUUGUUGCAGUUAAAAGCUCGUAGUUGAAUUUCGGGGUCAAUAUGUUGGUCGUGCCUUGGUACGUACUGGCAUUAUCGAUUCCUACCUUCUGAAGAACCUCGAUGUCAUUAAUUUGGUGUCUUGGGGAAUCAGGACUGUUACUUUGAAAAAUUAGAGCGUUUAAAGCGGGCUCACGCUUGAAUACAUUAGCAUGGAAUAAUGAAAUAGGACGUUUGAUUCUAUUUUGUUGGUUUCUAGGAUCGACGUAAUGAUUAAUAGGGAUAGUUGGGGGCAUUAGUAUUCAAUUGUCAGAGGUGAAAUUCUUGGAUUUAUUGAAGACUAACUACUGCGAAAGCAUUUGCCAAGGAUGUUUUCAUUAAUCAAGAACGAAAGUUAGGGGAUCGAAGACGAUCAGAUACCGUCGUAGUCUCAACCAUAAACUAUGCCGACUAGGGAUCGGAUGAUGUUAAUUUUUAAUGACUCA